UGCAGUCGAGCGGCAGCGCGGUAGCAAUACUGGCGGCGAGCGGCGGACGGGUGAGUAACGCUUGGGAAUCUGCCUUUUAGUGGGGGACAACCCGGGGAAACUCGGGCUAAUACCGCAUACGCUCUACGGAGGAAAGCCGGGGACCGCAAGGCCUGGCGCUAAUAGAUGAGCCCAAGUCGGAUUAGCUAGUUGGUAGGGUAACGGCCUACCAAGGCGACAAUCCGUAGCUGGUCUGAGAGGACGACCAGCCACACCGGAACUGAGACACGGUCCGGACUCCUACGGGAGGCAGCAGUGGGGAAUAUUGGACAAUGGGGGAAACCCUGAUCCAGCGACGCCGCGUGGGUGAAGAAGGCCUGCGGGUUGUAAAGCCCUUUCGGUGGGGAAGAAAAGUUGCGACCUAACACGUCGCGACCUUGACGUAACCCAUUAAAGAAGCACCGGCUAACUCUGUGCCAGCAGCCGCGGUAAUACAGAGGGUGCGAGCGUUAAUCGGAAUUACUGGGCGUAAAGCGCGCGUAGGCGGCUUUGCAAGUCGAGUGUGAAAUCCCCAGGCCUAACCUGGGAACUGCAUUCGAGACUGCAUGGCUAGAGUAUCGGAGAGGGAAGUGGAAUUUCAGGUGUAGCGGUGAAAUGCGUAGAUAUCUGAAGGAACAUCAGUGGCGAAAGCGACUUCCUGGACGAAUACUGACGCUCAUGUGCGAAAGCGUGGGGAGCAAACAGGAUUAGAUACCCUGGUAGUCCACGCCAUAAACGAUGAGAACUGGAUGUCGGAAGGGUUUGCCUUUC
rnacentral:rRNA from 1 species